rnacentral:rRNA from 1 species
UACAGAGGCCCCAAGCGUUAUCCGGAAUUAUUGGGCGUAAAGGGUGUCAAGGCGGUCAUGUUAGUCGUUCGUAAAAUCCGUGGGCUCAACCUACGGCUCGCGAGCGAAACGGCAUGACUUGAGGGUGGGAGAGGUGCGUGGAACUCACGGUGUAGGGGUGAAAUCCGUUGAUAUCGUGGGGAACACCAAAGGCGAAGGCAGCGCACUGGCCCAUUCCUGACGCUCACACACGAAAGCCAGGGUAGCGAACGGG